AUGUCUUUUCAGGUGCACUCCUAUGAAGUUUCCUGCUAUGACUCCAUGAAAUGUUCAUGCUCCGCAAACCGUAUAGAACUGACGCAGGAAUGGUGGCUUGUUGCGCGCCGGAUUUGCUGAAUUUAUGAAGGCUCCGGAAGAUUACGUCACCUUUCGUCGACGUUACAUUUUUUAUAAAGCGACCAGCAGGCCUCCUCAAGAGAGACAUUAGCGAAAAAGGCACGUUGACAAAACAAUUACUAAAUGCUUCGCAUUCAUAGCUUUCCUAUAAAACGAUCCCUCUGAUUAUGCUACUGAAAAUGCGCAUCCUGGCGAUGGCUGUCGUCGCACUUGCUGUCUUGACCAUGGCAUCGGGAGGCAGCACACUUGAAUGGCAAGGCACCGAGUCCGAAUUCGGCAGAGAAGAUCGCUCGUUGAGCCUGAGUUCAUUUGGAGAUACUGUGAAGAAGAUCUGGAAUAAUUUGGUGCAAAAUUUUAUCAGCUUCAUGCUUAGAUUAUUCAGUUUGCCAGUUUAACUUAAGAGAGCGAAAUCUGCCUGCAGUACUAGACGUAAUACUAUCGAUGGCGUAUCAGACUGCAUACUCCGUAUAUUGCAAGAAAAAAAAGAAGCUCAUAGCUCAUUUGGAUAUCUUCACAUGUUAACUUCUUGGUGCUGAUGCUGAUAGCAGUUAUUCGUAGCGAGAACAUCACAAACAUAAUUGAAAGAGCCCUGACGCACUCCCACAACAAGCAGCGAUUUUCAGCAAGAAAUAAGUAGAGGGCCGAUCGGAUUUAUGCAUGCGUGAAAAAUACACUGUACAAGAAUAUUUCUACAAAAUAUACACGACAAGUAGACGGUAUUGAAGCCUGCUCCCAGCCGGCGGCCACCAUUCUGCACGACGUGUGUGAUUUCAUGUGCUGGUCCGGACGAAGUGGAGCUGGCUUCUUCAGCUAAUGUUUCACUCGCAGCAAAUAGUUCAAUUUAUUGCAAAUCUGAGCAAAUCUGAAAUCACUCGAUUGCACGCGCAGCUGUCAGGGGAGCAAAAUUGUUCGUCGGAAGUGCAGACGCACUUUCAGCAAGCAGUCUUUUUACGUCAGCAUUGGCCGAUUCUCAGGUGUCUCGCACCUUAAUAAGACAACUGAACUAUGAAGUGUUCACCCAAAUCCGUAAAAACCUCUCAAGAUUAUUCGUGAAGGCACAUGAGUUAACCCAGGCAACACCGAUUACGAUGGAAGCUUGGGCGUCGUGGUCCCUUUAGACGUUAUAACGUUGUCUGCCUCUAAGAUGGCAAUUUGCGAACGUUGAAGACAUGUUGUUUUGUUGUUUUGUUUUGAAUGGUUUCAUUGCUUUGAUUACGGAAGUGUGAGAGUAAAUCUCCGAAGUCCUUUUUCUGCGAAUAAAUAAGGUUGGACGCCUUCGA